ensembl:snoRNA Snora78 small nucleolar RNA, H/ACA box 7
GUUUGUUGAAAAUCAUCUCUGGCCUUGGUCGUGGCCUGGGUUGAGAUUCGGCGCCCAGAGCCACCAGGGGCCUCAGCUCACCGCCAGCUGCCACGAUGUAGGAGGGUGAAACCCAGGCCCCCACAAGC